rnacentral:tRNA from 1 species
GUGAAUAUAACUCAAUUGGCAGAGUGCUGGAUUGUGAUUCUAGAAGUCUGUGAGUUCAAAUCUCACUAUUUACC